ensembl:lncRNA
GGUCUUCAUAUUUUUCACCAGCAGAACUGGAUGUGCUUAUGCAAGCAUAUGGAGAGUACGAACAUAUAUUUUUAAAAAAAAGCAACACGGCUGCAGCGGCGAAGGACAGAGAGUUAGCUUGGGAGAAAAUAGCUGCUCGAGUCAAUGCGUGCAAUCCUGCAGGCAUUAAAAGAACAUGGCAGCAGCUGAAAAUGAAAUAUAAAAACAUAAUUCAAUCAGCCAACAGAAAGAAGGCAGAGGCUCGCAAAACGGGGGGAGGACCUGCACCACCACCUCUGACAAAUGCAGAGGAGAUGGCCCUGAGCCUGA